UACGGAGGGUGCAAGCGUUAAUCGGAAUUACUGGGCGUAAAGCGUGCGUAGGCGGCUGCUUAAGUCAGAUGUGAAAGCCACGGGCUUAACCUGGGAACGGCAUUUGAUACUGGGCAGCUCGAGUUGAGUAGAGGAGAGGGGAAUUUCCGGUGUAGCGGUGAAAUGCGUAGAGAUCGGAAGGAACACCAGUGGCGAAGGCGCCUCUCUGGACUCAAACUGACGCUGAUGUACGAAAGCGUUGGUAUCAAACAGG
rnacentral:rRNA from 1 species